rnacentral:rRNA from 1 species
GUUGGUGGCUAUAGCGUGGAGGUUCACCUCUUCCCAUUCCGAACAGAGAAGUUAAGCUCCACAGCGCCGAUGGUACUGCCUCACCAGGUGGGAGAGUAGGUCGCCGCCAACU